GGGAUGUGAGGAGUGGUCAAUACUCGCAUACGAUGCGAGAUGGGUGCCCGCCUGCCUGUUACGACAUAGGGCACUCCCAUUUUUACCAUCUGAUCCC